rnacentral:rRNA from 1 species
UGCCAGCCGCCGCGGUAAUACGGAGGGUGCAAGCGUUGUUCGGAUUUAUUGGGCGUAAAGCGAGUGUAGGCGGUUUAGCAAGUCGGAUGUGAAAUCCCGGGGCCCAACCCCGGAACUGCAUCCGAUACUGUUAGACUAGAGUUCCGGAGAGGGUGGCGGAAUUCCCGGUGUAGGGGUGAAAUCCGUAGAUAUCGGGAGGAACACCAGUGGCGAAGGCGGCCACCUGGACGGUGACUGACGCUGAGACUCGAAAGCGUGGGUAGCAAACAGGAUUAGAUA